rnacentral:lncRNA from 1 species
UAUCUCAGUUAUCCCAAUGACAUCAUAGUUUGGUGGAACUCUGGUUCCUCCUACCUCUUUCCCAGGCUGCAGAUUGAAGUGGGCAUCCUUUUGCCCUGUUUUACCACUCCUGAGAUCUCCCCUGUCACUGUCACCCAGCACUCCUUGCCUUCCAGACCUGACCACCACUACCUCGCCUUACACAGUCACCCAUGGGCGCUAAUUGGUAGCAGGACCUACCGUGCUGGGCAUGCUCAUACAGGGGAAAACCUCCUUGAAACCGUGUUUUCAUACUGUAGUUGGACCAGCUCAGGCCUGCUCUGCUCCAAGUACAUUUUAACAAGAAGAACCUGGAAAGUGUCACAGAGUAGCACGUUGCUUCAGAAAUAUCCUUUAUUGGAAGUAGUAGCUGAAAAGAAGACUCACCUGGCAGCUGGAGUUAUGAGAAGGGGGCUAGAAGAUUGGUCCAUUUCUAAGAUAAGGCACAAAACAAUUUCAUCUCUUAACCUUCCUUCCCCUUCCUUUUCUUUCAAUGAAAAAUAAUGAAGAAUAGAGGGGAUUAAUAACAUUUUCAUUUUAUUGCUCUUGGAACCAGAGAGAAGAAAAUGAGCACUGAAAUUUCAUACUUUCUAUGCUUUACUAUAUUUGCUCUCUGGUUUUCAAGCAGGAUUUAGUGCACACAAUCUCUGUCAUAAUUCAUGGGACAGGAAUAAAUGCAGCUGGCAAGCAAUGAGAAGGCCUGUG